rnacentral:rRNA from 1 species
AGCGAACGCUGGCGGUAUGCUUAACACAUGCAAGUCGAGCGAAGGUGUUUCAAGGGUAACCUUGAGAUACACUUAGCGGCGGACGGGUGAGUAAUACGUGGAUAACUUACCUCUAGGCCUGGGAUAACCCCGGGAAACUGGGGCUAAUACCUGAUAAGACCACAUUGUCUACGGACAAAGGGGUAAAAGGUGGCUGUGCAAACAGCUAUCGCCAAAAGAUAGGUUCACGUCCCAUCAGGCAGUUGGCGAGGUAAUGGCUCACCAAACCAAAGACGGGUAGCCGGCCUUGGCGGGUGAACGGCCACACGGGGACUGAGACACCGGCCCCGACUCCUACGGGAGGCAGCAGUGGGGAAUAUUGGGCAAUGGGCGCAAGCCUGACCCAGCGACGCCGCGUU